GUCUCCUAUCUACUGUGGGCGUUGAUUCUUGAGGGGAGUUGCUUCUAGUACGAGAGGACCGAAGCGAACUGACCUCUGGUGUAUCUGUUGUCCCGCCCGGGGCAUUGCAGAGUAGCUAUGUCGGGAAUGGAUAACCUCUGAAAGCAUCUAAGAGGGAAGCCAGCCCUAAGAUUAGGAAUCGUUUGAGGGACCUGGGAGAUGACCAGGUUGAUAGGCGCUAGGUGUAAGUCCUGUGAAGGAUUGAGCCGAGGCGUACUAAUAUCCCGAUUCCUGUUAGGAA
rnacentral:ncRNA from 1 species